rnacentral:rRNA from 1 species
AGUGAACGCUGGCGGUAGGCCUAACACAUGCAAGUCGAACGGCAGCACAGUAAGAGCUUGCUCUUACGGGUGGCGAGUGGCGGACGGGUGAGGAAUACAUCGGAAUCUACUUUUUCGUGGGGGAUAACGUAGGGAAACUUACGCUAAUACCGCAUACGACCUACGGGUGAAAGCAGGGGAUCUUCGGACCUUGCGCGAUUGAAUGAGCCGAUGUCGGAUUAGCUAGUUGGCGGGGUAAAGGCCCACCAAGGCGACGAUCCGUAGCUGGUCUGAGAGGAUGAUCAGCCACACUGGAACUGAGACACGGUCCAGACUCCUACGGGAGGCAGCAGUGGGGAAUAUUGGGCAAUGGGCGCAAGCCUGAUCCAGCCAUACCGCGUGGGUGAAGAAGGCCUUCGGGUUGUAAAGCCCUUUUGUUGGGAAAGAAAAGCAGCGGGUUAAUACCCCGCUGUUCUGACGGUACCCAAAGAAUAAGCACCGGCUAACUUCGUG